UGGGGAAUUUUGGACAAUGGGCGCAAGCCUGAUCCAGCCAUGCCGCGUGAGUGAAGAAGGCCUUCGGGUUGUAAAGCUCUUUCGCGAGGGAAGAAAAGGUACGGGUUAAUAACCCGUGCUCAUGACGGUACCUUGAUAAGAAGCACCGGCUAACUACGUGCCAGCAGCCGCGGUAAUACGUAGGGUGCGAGCGUUAAUCGGAAUUACUGGGCGUAAAGCGUGCGCAGGCGGUUUGUUAAGUCAGAUGUGAAAGCCCCGGGCUCAACCUGGGAACUGCGUUUGAAACUGGCAAGCUAGAGUUUGGGAGAGGGAGGUAGAAUUCCACGUGUAGCAGUGAAAUGCGUAGAUAUGUGGAGGAACACCGAUGGCGAAGGCAGCCUCCUGGCCCAAAACUGACGCUCAUGCACGAAAGCGUGGGGAGCAAACAG
rnacentral:rRNA from 1 species